UACAGAGGUGGCAAGCGUUGUUCGGAAUUACUGGGCGUAAAGGGCGCGUAGGCGGCUCGGCACGUCCGUUGUGAAAUCGCCCGGCUCAACUGGGCGGGGUCGGCGGAUACGGCCGAGCUGGAGCAAGCUAGGGGGUAAUGGAAUUCCCGGUGUAGUGGUGGAAUGCGUAGAUAUCGGGAGGAACACCAGUGGCGAAGGCGGUUACCUGGAGCUUUGCUGACGCUGAUGCGCGAAAGCGUGGGGAGCGAUCCGG
rnacentral:rRNA from 1 species